rnacentral:rRNA from 1 species
CUUGCUUCUCUUGAGAGCGGCGGACGGGUGAGUAAUGCCUAGGAAUCUGCCUGGUAGUGGGGGAUAACGUCCGGAAACGGACGCUAAUACCGCAUACGUCCUACGGGAGAAAGCAGGGGACCUUCGGGCCUUGCGCUAUCAGAUGAGCCUAGGUCGGAUUAGCUAGUUGGUGGGGUAAUGGCUCACCAAGGCGACGAUCCGUAACUGGUCUGAGAGGAUGAUCAGUCACACUGGAACUGAGACACGGUCCAGACUCCUACGGGAGGCAGCAGUGGGGAAUAUUGGACAAUGGGCGAAAGCCUGAUCCAGCCAUGCCGCGUGUGUGAAGAAGGUCUUCGGAUUGUAAAGCACUUUAAGUUGGGAGGAAGGGCAGUAAAUUAAUACUUUGCUGUUUUGACGUUACCGACAGAAUAAGCACCGGCUAACUCUGUGCCAGCAGCCGCGGUAAUACAGAGGGUGCAAGCGUUAAUCGGAAUUACUGGGCGUAAAGCGCGCGUAGGUGGUUCGUUAAGUUGGAUGUGAAAUCCCCGGGCUCAACCUGGGAACUGCAUUCAAAACUGACGAGCUAGAGUAUGGUAGAGGGUGGUGGAAUUUCCUGUGUAGCGGUGAAAUGCGUAGAUAUAGGAAGGAACACCAGUGGCGAAGGCGACCACCUGGACUGAUACUGACACUGAGUGCGAAAGCGUGGGGAGCAAACAGGAUUAGAUACCCUGGUAGUCCACGCCGUAAACGAUGUCAACUAGCCGUUGGGAGCCUUGAGCUCUUA